rnacentral:lncRNA from 1 species
AUGCGGAGGUCACCAGCCGGCAAUACAACUCUUGGUAGGUGCCGUCUGAGAUCCCGCCUAGCUCCUGCGCCUCGCCCCCACCGGACCCCCGGCCCCGUCCCUGCUCAGACUUCUGGCCCCACCCCUGUUCUUGCUCCUAACUACACCCCUACUCUUGCUCCCAGCUCCGCUCCAGUUCUUGCUUCUAGCUUCGCUCCUGCUAGUGCUACCGGCUCCACCCCUACUCUUGCUCCUGGCUCCACUUCUGCUCCAGACCACGGCCCUACCCCAGGCGGUGCCCCAGGCCCUGCCAGUAUUGCAAUUCCGGACACCACCUCUGCUACUACUCCCGGUCCCGCCCCUACUGUUGCUCCUGGCAACGCCUCUGCCCCUGGUUUCUCCCGAUUUCUCCUCUCACCCCUUAACCUUGCCCCACCCUUCUUUGCUCUGCCCCUGCUCUGCCUCCCACCCCUACUCCUCACUCCGUCUCGGAUUCUGUUUCUCGAUUUAACUGCCCCACAACUAUUUUCCCCAGUCCCUCUGUACCUGGCUCCGACCCUGCUUAUUGCCCCGCCCCAUCCCUUCUCUUCGCACCGCCCCUUUCUCCGCGCACGUGCUCGGGCUCUGCCCACGUACCGGGCCCUGGCUCUAGAUCUGUCCCUCUCCGGAUCCUGUUCCCGGACCCGCCCCACGCCCCGCACCUUCCCCUGUUUCUCGGCUGUUUCUUGCUCCCCGCUCUGCUUUUGCCCUUUAUCGACCUGUCCUUCUCCCUCCUGGGAGAGCUGUUCUUCCCGAGCCUGCUCCUCGCCACGCCCCCUCAUAUGGCCCCGCCCCUUCUCCUUAGAUACAGUUUCUUUGCCUUGGGAACUCUUCUCGCCACUGGUCUUCCCUUCGCUCCGCACCCUCUCCUCGCCCUGCACCGUCUCCUCAUUCCUUGCCGGCGCUACCCUGUGCGUCAGUACUUUCUCUGUCUUCACUUUCCUCCCGAACCGCGACACCUUUUGGCCCCACCCCUUCUUCUCACCACUCCUUUCCAUGCCCUGGACAAUUCGCGGCUCUACGCUCCGCCUCUCCGAGCCCCGCCCCUAUUCAUCACCCAGCUUCUUAGCCUUGCCCCGCUCUUCCUCUGCCCCGCCCCUACUGUGCCCAGUCCCUCCGCGCUCCAAAUUUUCCCCAGCCUUUUCCUUCCUCGCCUCCCUCCUCCCCUUCCCUCCCCUUCUUAACCCCGCCCCCGCCCCCCGCAUCCCUCCCGGGGAUGGCACCAGGCACCACCCCCUUCUCCCCGCCCCGUGGUACCAGUCACUAGGUUAA